GAGGAUAAUACUAUAUAUUCAGACCAGAUUACAAAAUAACUUUGCCACAUUCUACCUAUUAUAGCAACCCUUUAAAGAGACUCUAUGUCAGGUGAGUGUAAAUUAAAAACUCAGCCAUGCACUGGUGGCUCACACUUGAAUCAUAGCUACUCAGAAUACUGAGAAUUUGGAAGACUGUGGUUCCAAGUUAGGCACAAAAGCUUGUAAGAUUACAUCUCCAAAAUAACUAUCAAACCAAAAAAAUGAAGCAAAAAUGGGGCUAGAGAUUUGGCUCAAGGGCAGAGAGCCAGUUGAACAAGCAAACUGAACAAACAUCAAGCCCUGAGUUUAAAUCCUAGAACUGGCAAGACAUUUUAAAAAUAUAUUAAAACCCUCAAAAUUCCUAAGACAAGUUUUGGGUAAUUGUAACUUGAGAAUUAGACAUUUACAAAACACUUGAAUAUACUGGUUUAACCAACAGUGAAUUGGUCAGGAUGUUGUUUUAAUUUUUGCUGUGCCAGGGACAGAACUUGGAGCCUCUUUUAUACUAGGCAAGUACCCUACCACUGAGUUACAUCCAGCUCUAGACUGCAUCUUUAUUAAUGUCUCUCAUCUCUCUGGUUAGCCCUGAAUAGUUAAGGCAGUAAAGAGAUAUUUCCUCAUCAUACAUUUGAGAACAGAAUUCUAUUUUAGGAUAAACUAAAAGUAAAAUUUCCUCAUUCCUGCUUAAAAAAAAAAUGUGUGCUUUGUGAACUGACAUAAAGCUUUCCUUCUAACCUUAAUAGGAAGAGUGACUUGUACUGUCUAAGGAAGAACCUUUUGUCAUUAAGCUUGUGAUCACAGGAGAAAUUAUAACAACCUUUAAGUACCAAAACAAGACACUUUGAUUUCCCAGGCAAUGGAAGAGCACAUCUGUGCAAAACUCUUCCAAGUCGAUCAAACGCAUUCUAGAAAUGACAUCCUGCCUAAGAUGCUUCUGCAGACUCAUGAGCAGGAAGGGAGACCUACAGUGCCCUGGGCUCAGCCAGAAGCCAUUAACCAUGUUAAAGGAUCAAGAAAGCCUAGAAAAUAGCUCUGCCUGAGAGCUGACAAUGGGGGGGGGGGGGGAAAGCCUGGAAAUGAUCAUUUUUUUUCUUUUCUCCUUUUUAUUUCUUUCCUCCUUGGUAACAAUUUCUCUCUCUCUUCCAUUUGCCAUUCUCCCUUAUUAUCCUUUGGGCUUUUUGACAUAGAAUCUUGCUACAUAGCCCCAGAUGGCUUUGACUUCAUGAUCCUCUUGCCUCAGCCUUCUAUGUUCUGAGAUUAUAGGUCUGCACUAUAGUGCCCAGUAGAAAAAAAACAAUUUUAUGAUGUAUUUAUGGAACAUUUGCUGAGACCAUCAGAGAUGUAAUGUCAUUUCAUGAUGCUUUCUGAUUUAUUCUUCACUGUAAUGUUAAGGAGACAUAAAAACAAGUUCAAGAUAUCAUAAACUACCUACUGUACUCUAUACAAAAAAACACUUAAAUUUAAUUGCUUAAGAAAUACUUGCUGGAUAAAAUAAACACUAUGACUUCCAUAGAUUUCACUAUUGUCCUAAGCAGCAGCUAUGGUAAAACCAGUGGUUUCAAAUCAAUCAUUUGCAUAAUCUUGUCCUUCUGAAGAAACAAGUGAGAGCAAUAUACUUAUUAUUUUUUUUACCCAAAGUAUCCUUUAAACCUAAUUUAAUUAUACAUAAACAUUAGCUCAUACAAAUGUCUUUGAGAAAGUUGACUAUUUUUUCCCGUCAGUGUAUAUUAAUUUAGCUCAUCCAAGAAUGAGCUCAAGUUCAAGUGGUUAGAGCAUAGCAGCAUACAGAACAGAAAAACAGCCUAACAGAUCAUGAGUAUUUACUAAGAGACUACCAUUACUAUUCUAAGUAUUUUACAUGUAGUAAUUUACUUGCUCUCUAGCUCUAAGAAUCAUAUGUACUAGAAAAAGUGAGCAUGGAAAAGUGACCCCAGCAAUGGGUGUGAAUGAGAGGUGUGGGGUUGUGAUUUCUAAUUCUCAAGGACCCUCCUGUUUGCUCAUGGGAUCUGCAACUACUGAAGAAUAUAGGCCUUAGGGCAGUGGCCUUAAUCUGCUACUGUGAUCAUAGCUAGGGACAUAAGCCUUCAUUUUGCCCAUGGUAAUUGGAAAUCAGAUGAAGUCAAGAGACAAAAAGAAAAUGGAAAGAAAAGAACAAAGAGAG